ensembl:lncRNA
AAUGGCAACUCACUCCAGUGCUCUUGCCUGGAAAAUCCCAUGGACGGAAGAGCCUGGUAGGCUACAGUCCAUGGGGUCACAGAGAGUCAGACACAACUGAGCAACUUCGCUUUCACUUUUCUUUCACAGCUGUUUCAGUCCUCAGCACGUUUCCUGGAGGACAUGUGAGUGACACUGGGCUACCUUCUCCACCCCCCUUCCAAUCCUGCACUGCUGAUAUGGUGGCCCAGGGGUCUGUGAACUAUCAAGCCUUUCACACGCCCAGCCUUCUGAAAGCUUGCACAGCACAUCCCCAGCCUUGGGUUCUCAAAACAACAGUGCAAGGACUCUUGAGUCGGCUUCUGGAAGUCCCAGCUGAGAAGCAGCCUCCAAAACACGGCGUUUCUGCAGCCCCUCUGAGGAACAGAGGACAAUGCUCCGUCCAGCUGCAGACAUCCUUCUCCCCGCAGAGGCC